AUUGAACGCUGGCGGCAGGCCUAACACAUGCAAGUCGAGCGAGCGGCGGCCGGGUGAGUAAUGUAUGGGGAUCUGCCCGAUAGAGGGGGAUAACUACUGGAAACGGUGGCUAAUACCGCAUACCAUCGGCUGAACCCAGAUGCGAUUAGCUAGCAGGUGGGGUAAAGGCUCACCUAGGCGACGAUCUCUAGCUGGUCUGAGAGGCUGAGAAGACAAACGAGAACUAAGACACGGUCCAGACGCCUACGGUAGGCAGCAGUGGGGAAAAUUGCACAAUGGGCGCAAGCCUGAUGCAGCCAUGCCGCGUGUAUGAAGAAGUCCUUCGGGUUGUAAAGUACUUUCAGCGGGGAGGCGUUACUCGCAGGAGAAGCACCGGCUAAAGCCGUGCCAGCGGCGGCGGUAAUAC
rnacentral:rRNA from 1 species